AAGCCUAUGAUGAUAUUGCUUUAUGUUGGAAUUACCGUCUGAAGUUUUCCUCUUGAUGACAAGCGGCUAUCUGAGGCUUAUU